rnacentral:rRNA from 1 species
GAUGAACGCUGGCGGCGUGCCUAAUACAUGCAAGUCGAGCGAACAGACGAGGAGCUUGCUCCUCUGACGUUAGCGGCGGACGGGUGAGUAACACGUGGAUAACCUACCUAUAAGACUGGGAUAACUUCGGGAAACCGGAGCUAAUACCGGAUAAUAUAUUGAACCGCAUGGUUCAAUAGUGAAAGACGGUUUUGCUGUCACUUAUAGAUGGAUCCGCGCCGCAUUAGCUAGUUGGUAAGGUAACGGCUUACCAAGGCAACGAUGCGUAGCCGACCUGAGAGGGUGAUCGGCCACACUGGAACUGAGACACGGUCCAGACUCCUACGGGAGGCAGCAGUAGGGAAUCUUCCGCAAUGGGCGAAAGCCUGACGGAGCAACGCCGCGUGAGUGAUGAAGGUCUUCGGAUCGUAAAACUCUGUUAUUAGGGAAGAACAAAUGUGUAAGUAACUAGGCACGUCUUGACGGUACCUAAUCAGAAAGCCACGGCUAACUACGUG